rnacentral:rRNA from 1 species
UAGGACGCACAGUUUAUACCGUAGCUUGCUACACCAUAGACUGUGAGUUGCGAACGGGUGAGUAACGCGUAGGUAACCUGCCUAUUAGAGGGGGAUAACUAUUGGAAACGAUAGCUAAUACCGCAUAACAGUAUGUAACACAUGUUAGAUGCUUGAAAGAUGCAAUUGCAUCGCUAGUAGAUGGACCUGCGUUGUAUUAGCUAGUAGGUAGGGUAAAGGCCUACCUAGGCAACGAUACAUAGCCGACCUGAGAGGGUGAUCGGCCACACUGGGACUGAGACACGGCCCAGACUCCUACGGGAGGCAGCAGUAGGGAAUCUUCGGCAAUGGGGGGAACCCUGACCGAGCAACGCCGCGUGAGUGAAGAAGGUUUUCGGAUCGUAAAGCUCUGUUGUUAAGGAAGAACGAGUGUGAGAAUGGAAAGUUCAUGCUGUGACGGUACUUAACCAGAAAGGGACGGCUAACUACGUGCCAGCAGCCGCGGUAAUACGUAGGUCCCGAGCGUUGUUCGGAUUUAUUGGGCGUAAAGCGAGCGCAGGCGGU